ACAUGCAAGUCGAGCGAAUGGAUUAAGAGCUUGCUCUUAUGAAGUUAGCGGCGGACGGGUGAGUAACACGUGGGUAACCUGCCCAUAAGACUGGGAUAACUCCGGGAAACCGGGGCUAAUACCGGAUAACAUUUUGAACCGCAUGGUUCGAAAUUGAAAGGCGGCUUCGGCUGUCACUUAUGGAUGGACCCGCGUCGCAUUAGCUAGUUGGUGAGGUAACGGCUCACCAAGGCAACGAUGCGUAGCCGACCUGAGAGGGUGAUCGGCCACACUGGGACUGAGACACGGCCCAGACUCCUACGGGAGGCAGCAGUAGGGAAUCUUCCGCAAUGGACGAAAGUCUGACGGAGCAACGCCGCGUGAGUGAUGAAGGCUUUCGGGUCGUAAAACUCUGUUGUUAGGGAAGAACAAGUGCUAGUUGAAUAAGCUGGCACCUUGACGGUACCUAACCAGAAAGCCACGGCUAACUACGUGCCAGCAGCCGCGGUAAUACGUAGGUGGCAAGCGUUAUCCGGAAUUAUUGGGCGUAAAGCGCGCGCAGGUGGUUUCUUAAGUCUGAUGUGAAAGCCCACGGCUCAACCGUGGAGGGUCAUUGGAAACUGGGAGACUUGAGUGCAGAAGAGGAAAGUGGAAUUCCAUGUGUAGCGGUGAAAUGCGUAGAGAUAUGGAGGAACACCAGUGGCGAAGGCGACUUUCUGGUCUGUAACUGACACUGAGGCGCGAAAGCGUGGGGAGCAAACACGAUUAGAUAGGCUGCUGGUC
rnacentral:rRNA from 1 species